rnacentral:siRNA from 1 species
GGUGGUGCAUGGCCGUUC